rnacentral:rRNA from 1 species
UACGGAGGGUGCGAGCGUUGUUCGGAAUCACUGGGCGUAAAGGGCGUGUAGGCGGUCUGCUAAGUCUGAUGUGAAAGCCCGGGGCUCACCCCCGGAAGUGCAUUGGAUACUGGCGGACUCGAGUCCCGGAGAGGAGAGUGGAAUUCCUGGUGUAGCGGUGAAAUGCGCAGAUAUCAGGAGGAACACCGGUGGCGAAGGCGGGUCUCUGGGCAAUAACUGACGCUGAGGAGCGAAAGCGUGGGGAGCGAACAGG